UGGGGAAUAUUGGACAAUGGGGGCAACCCUGAUCCAGCAAUGCCGCGUGAGUGAUGAAGGCCUUAGGGUUGUAAAGCUCUUUUACCAGGGAUGAUAAUGACAGUACCUGGAGAAUAAGCUCCGGCUAACUCCGUGCCAGCAGCCGCGGUAAUACGGAGGGAGCUAGCGUUGUUCGGAAUUACUGGGCGUAAAGCGCGCGUAGGCGGCGUAUCAAGUCAGGGGUGAAAGCUUUCGGCUCAACCGGAAAAUUGCCUUGGAUACUGGUAGUCUUGAGUACAGUAGAGGUGGGCGGAAUUCAUGGUGUAGCGGUGAAAUGCAUAGAUACCAUGAGGAACACCGAUAGGGAAGCCAGCUCACUGGACUGUCACUGACGCUGAGGUAUGAAAGCGUGGGGAGCGAACAGGAUUAGAUACCCGUGUAGUCC
rnacentral:rRNA from 1 species